rnacentral:rRNA from 1 species
ACAUCCAGAGAAUUUAGCAGAGAUGCUUUAGUGCCUUCGGGAACUCUGAGACAGGUGCUGCAUGGCUGUCGUCAGCUCGUGUUGUGAAAUGUUGGGUUAAGUCCCGNAACGAGCGCAACCCUUAUCCUUUGUUGCCAGCACGUAAUGGUGGGAACUCAAAGGAGACUGCCGGUGAUAAACCGGAGGAAGGUGGGGAUGACGUCAAGUCAUCAUGGCCCUUACGAGUAGGGCUACACACGUGCUACAAUGGCGCAUACAAAGAGAAGCGACCUUGCGAGAGCAGGCGGACCUCAUAAAGUGCGUCGUAGUCCGGAUUGGAGUCUGCAACUCGACUCCAUGAAGUCGGAAUCGCUAGUAAUCGUAAAUCAGAAUGUUACGGUGAAUACGUUCCCGGGCCUUGUACACACCGCCCGUCACACCAUGGGAGUGGGUUGCAAAAGAAGUAGAUAGCUUAACCUUCGGGAGGGCGUUUACCACUUUGUGAUUCAUGACUGGGGUGAAGUCGUAACAAGGUAAGCGUAGUGCU